GACGAACGCUGGCGGCGUGCUUAACACAUGCAAGUCGAACGGAAAGGCCCUGCUUUUGUGGGGUGCUCGAGUGGCGAACGGGUGAGUAACACGUGAGUAACCUGCCCUUGACUUUGGGAUAACUUCAGGAAACUGGGGCUAAUACCGGAUAGGAGCUCCUGCUGCAUGGUGGGGGUUGGAAAGUUGCGGCGGUUGGGGCUGGACGCGCGGCUUAUCAGCUUGUUGGUGGGGUAGUGGCUGACCAAGGGUGUGACUGGUAGCCGGCCUGGGAGGGUGAACGGCCACAAGGGGACUAAGAUACGGAGCAGUCGCCAACGGGAGGCAGCGGGGGGGAAUAUGGUCCAGUGGGCGCGAGCGCGAGGCAGAAGCGCCGCGGGCGGGAUGCCGGCCUGCGGGUUGUAAACCGCUUUCGCCUGUGACGAAGCGUGAGUGACGGUAAUGGGUAAAGAAGCACCGGCUAACUACGUG
rnacentral:rRNA from 1 species